rnacentral:rRNA from 1 species
UACAGAGGUCUCAAGCGUUGUUCGGAUUCAUUGGGCGUAAAGGGCUCGUAGGCGGUGCGGCAAGUCGGAAGUGAAAUCUCUGGGCUUAACUCAGAGGCUGCUCCCGAAACUGCCGUGCUUGAGUGCGGGAGAGGCGAGUGGAAUUGCAGGUGUAGCGGUGAAAUGCGUAGAUAUCUGCAGGAACACCCGUGGCGAAGGCGGCUCGCUGGACCGCAACUGACGCUGAGGAACGAAAGCUAGGGGAGCAAACAGG